UACGUAGGGUGCAAGCGUUAAUCGGAAUUACUGGGCGUAAAGCGUGCGCAGGCGGUUUGUAAGUCUGUCGUGAAAUCCCCGGGCUCAACCUGGGAAUUGCGAUGGAGACUGCAAGGCUAGAAUCUGGCAGAGGGGGUAGAAUUCCACGUGUAGCAGUGAAAUGCGUAGAGAUGUGGAGGAACACCGAUGGCGAAGGCAGCCCCUGGGUCAAGAUUGA
rnacentral:rRNA from 1 species